rnacentral:rRNA from 1 species
UGGGGAAUAUUGCACAAUGGGCGAAAGCCUGAUGCAGCAACGCCGCGUGAGUGAUGAAGGCCUUCGGGUUGUAAAGCUCUGUCUUUGGGGACGAUAAUGACGGUACCCAAGGAGGAAGCCACGGCUAACUACGUGCCAGCAGCCGCGGUAAUACGUAGGUGGCAGGCGUUGUCCGGAUUUACUGGGCGUAAAGGGUGCGUAGGUGGAUAUUUAAGUCAGAUGUGAAAUACCCGAGCUCAACUUGGGUGCUGCAUUUGAAACUGGAUAUCUAGAGUGCAGGAGAGGUAAGUGGAAUUCCUAGUGUAGCGGUGAAAUGCGUAGAGAUUAGGAAGAACACCAGUGGCGAAGGCGACUUACUGGACUGUAACUGACACUGAGGCAUGAAAGCGUGGGGAGCAAACA